GAUGAACGCUGGCGGCGUGCCUAAUACAUGCAAGUCGAGCGAACAGAUGAGGAGCUUGCUCCUCUGACGUUAGCGGCGGACGGGGGAGUAACACGUGGAUAACCUACCUAUAAGACUGGGAUAACUUCGGGAAACCGGAUCUAAUACCGGAUAAUAUAUUGAACCGCAUGGUUCAAUAGUUAAAGACUGUUUUGCUGUCACUUAUAGAUGUAUCCGCGCCGCAUUAGCUAGUUGGUAAGGUAACGGCUUACCAAGGCAACGAUGCGUAGCCGACCUGAGAGGGUGAUCGGCCACACUGGAACUGAGACACGGUCCAGACUCCUACGGGAGGCAGCAGUAGGGAAUCUUCCGCAAUGGGCGAAAGCCUGACGGAGCAACGCCGCGUGAGUGAUGAAGGUCUUCGGAUCGUAAAACUCUGUUAUUAGGGAAGAACAAAUGUGUAAGUAACUAUGCACGUCUUGACGGUACCUAAUCAGAAAGCCACGGCUAACUACGUG
rnacentral:rRNA from 1 species